rnacentral:rRNA from 1 species
UACGUAGGGUGCAAGCGUUGUCCGGAAUUAUUGGGCGUAAAGAGCUCGUAGGCGGUUUGUUGCGUCGGCUGUGAAAUCCCGAGGCUCAACCUCGGGUCUGCAGUCGAUACGAGCAAACUAGAGUGUUGCAGGGGAGACUGGAAUUCCUGGUGUAGCGGUGAAAUGCGCAGAUAUCAGGAGGAACACCGGUGGCGAAGGCGGGUCUCUGGGCAACAACUGACGUGGAGGAGCGAAA